CCAGGACAGCUGCAAGGUAUAAUGCGUGUGUAACGAGCUCCGUCAGGAUGAUACCAUUUCUAUGAAACAGUUAAUUAAACAUUGCGUUAUGUUGUGCAGAUGACAAAACGGAAUAUACAUAACAUGUGCUGAUAAAGAACUCCCACCAGGUCCAAAUAAUGGCGUCGUCUAUGCUGCUAGAAAAUCCAUGGACGGUGGAACACCAUUUACCGCAACAGUGUUUUUUAGUAUUGGCUACCCCCUCUCACUAAAAUAUUGUAUGGGAAGGGUGCAUUUUGAUGCAUUUGGAGGCAAUGGUCCAUGCUUCGGUCAUCUCUGUUACGACCUUAUUACCUAGGCUAAAAUACAUAAUAAAAAUAAUAAAAUGGAAAUCACUUA